rnacentral:rRNA from 1 species
AGAGUUUGAUCCUGGCUCAGAAUGAACGCUGGCGGCAUGCCUAACACAUGCAAGUCGAACGAGACCUUCGGGUCUAGUGGCGCACGGGUGCGUAACGCGUGGGAAUCUGCCCUCUGGUUCGGAAUAACUCAGGGAAACUUGAGCUAAUACCGGAUAAUGACUUCGGUCCAAAGAUUUAUCGCCUGAGGAUGAGCCCGCGUCGGAUUAGCUUGUUGGUGAGGUAAAAGCUCACCAAGGCGACGAUCCGUAGCUGGUCUGAGAGGAUGAUCAGCCACACUGGGACUGAGACACGGCCCAGACUCCUACGGGAGGCAGCAGUAGGGAAUCUUCCGCAAUAGACGAAAGUCUGACGGAGCAACGCCGCGUGAGUGAUGAAGGCUUUCGGGUCGUAAAACUCUGUUGUUAGGGAAGAACAAGUAUGAGAGUAACUGCUCGUACCUUGACGGUACCUAACCAGAAAGCCACGGCUAACUACGUGCUAGCAGCCGCGGUAAUAC